UACGGAGGGUGCAAGCGUUAUCCGGAUUCACUGGGUUUAAAGGGUGCGUAGGUUGACCGGAAAGUCAGUGGUGAAAUACCCUCGCUUAACGAGGGAACUGCCGUUGAUACUAUCGGUCUUGAAUACGGUGGAGGCGGGCGGAAUGUGUCAUGUAGCGGUGAAAUGCUUAGAUAUGACACAGAACACCUAUUGCGAAGGCAGCUCGCUACGCCGUCAUUGACACUGAGGCACGAAAGCGUGGGGAUCAAACAGG
rnacentral:rRNA from 1 species